rnacentral:rRNA from 1 species
CGUCCUACGGGGGGCAGCAGUGGGGAAUAUUGCACAAUGGGGGAAACCCUGAUGCAGCGACGCCGCGUGAGUGAAGAAGUAUUUCGGUAUGUAAAGCUCUAUCAGCAGGGAAGAAGCAAGACGGUACCUGACUAAGAAGCCCCGGCUAACUAAGUGCCAGCAGCCGCGGUAAUACGUAGGGGGCAAGCGUUAUCCGGAUUUACUGGGUGUAAAGGGAGCGUAGACGGUAUGGCAAGUCUGAAGUGAAAGCCCAG